ACUUAGGAGACCUGUGUUCUAAUCCUUGAUUGGCCAUAGAAACUCAUAGGGAGGGGGUCAGAAUUAGUAAAACCACUCCUUAAAUACCUCACUUACCUCGAAAGCCCUAUUAUAGGCUCUGACUUGAGGGCACAUGACAUAUAAUUUAGUAUGGACUAAGGAGCAAUCACUUAUUGCAUGCCUGGGCUCAGAGGCUUCCUUUAUCCAAAGUGGAUAAUUCACUUUUUAUAGCAUUUACAAGUCAUUUGCCCAGGGUUCAAGCCUGCAUAGUAGCUGUAUGUACAGAUUUGAAAAUUUGGCUCCUUUCUCACAGUUUUGUAAAGGUUUUAUUUCAUACAAAAAGAAACGUCACACUGUGGAAUGAUGCCCUGAGCCCCUUCUGUCACUAUACAGUUGCUGGAGUCAUUGUCCAGUAUUUCCAAUAUUCCUAACAACAGCUAAACUAUAAAUCCAGGAGAUCAUGGAUUGUACCAGGCAGGACUCAGGUCCUAACAGUUAGAGGUGUUUCAGCAGCCAGCAGAUGAAGCUAUUCAACUAUUUUCUGCUGUGAAAAUAGAUUGGUGGUAAAUUGCAGAUAUCUCUCUCCUCCUGUGUACUUUUUCUUUCCAAAUCUCUCUACAUCAAUUUUGUCGUCUUAUCUCUAGUGGCAUAUCUACAUCUGGCACUGAGGCUUGCUUAAAGAAAGAGAGGGGGAGAGGGAGAGAGAGAGAGAGAGAAGAGAGAGAUGCAAUUGGAGUGAGAAAGGGAAACAGAAAUGUUUCAUGGGGUGGCAAAAAUGGGUGUUUGUGUCAGGAACUGUAAGAAUCUGUUCUUACGGUUUAGUUUCUGAUUCUCAUGGUGCAUUAGCACUAAAAUGAUCAUGAUAGUGCCACAGUGUUAAAUUCCACCCCUCCAUCACAGUACAAACUACCACAAGAAAUAAACCAAGGGUUUCAGGAGGGAUAAAAUAGCGU
rnacentral:lncRNA from 1 species